CGAGUUUACAACUCCCAAACCCCUGUGAACAUACCAAUUGUUGCCUCGGCGGAUCAGCCCGCUCCCGGUAAAACGGGACGGCCCGCCAGAGGACCCCUAAACUCUGUUUCUAUAUGUAACUUCUGAGUAAAACCAUAAAUAAAUCAAAACUUUCAACAACGGAUCUCUUGGUUCUGGCAUCGAUGAAGAACGCAGCAAAAUGCGAUAAGUAAUGUGAAUUGCAGAAUUCAGUGAAUCAUCGAAUCUUUGAACGCACAUUGCGCCCGCCAGUAUUCUGGCGGGCAUGCCUGUUCGAGCGUCAUUUCAACCCUCAAGCCCAGCUUGGUGUUGGGACUCGCGAGUUAAAUCGCGUUCCCCAAAUUGAUUGGCGGUCACGUCGAGCUUCCAUAGCGUAGUAGUAAAACCCUCGUUACUGGUAAUCGUCGCGGCCACGCCGUUAAACCCCAACUUCUGAAUGUUGACCUCGGAUCAGGUAGGAAUACCCGCUGAACUUAAGCAUAU
rnacentral:rRNA from 1 species